AGAGAAAAGAAAAGGCGCGAGAGGUAAAAUACCUGAGAAAAAACUAUUAUUAGCUUUCCCGCCAACCCGAUCGAAAUCAUCCGCUUUCUUUGCGUCUCCAGUUCCACCAAAGAGAGGUAAAAAGCAACAAACAGUAAAAAAUGGAGUUCAGUCUCAGCGGAAACGCUCUCAAGACCUUCUCCCGGUCUAUCACAUGCCUUGCACGCGUGGGAAACGAACUAGCCAUCCAAGCCUCUCCUUCUCAGCUCGUAUUUCACACGCUUAAUUCGUCAAGAUCUGCCUAUCAAUCGAUUACAUUGAAGUCUGGCUUCUUUGAUGUGUAUACAGUUUCUGGUACACAAGUCCAGUGCAGUGUGCUUUUAAAGGCAAUCUGUUCUGUUCUCAGGACACCUAUUCCAAGUAUCGAUAACCUGACUGUCCGAUUGCCUGAUCCGGAUGCCUCAAAAGUGCAAUGGACUUUGGAAUGCUAUAGUGGCAUGAGAAAAGCCUAUUGGAUUAAUUGCAAUGUUGAGCCCGAAAUACAGAAUUUAUCCCUUGAUAGGAGAAGAUUCCCAAGCAGCUUAGUGGUGAGACCUCGCGAUCUCAACAGACUACUAGCUAAUUUUCAAUCAUCACUCCAGGAGAUUACUGUCAUUGCAACAGAACCUGCUUCCUUACCUUCUGAUGGUGCAAGCGAAAUAGGCGGAAAAGCUGUUGAACUUAGAAGUUAUAUAGACCCAACCAAAGAUAAUGACUCUUCACUACAUACUCAAUUGUGGAUAGAUCCUGCAGAAGAAUUUGUUCAGUAUACUCACACUGGAGACCCUGUGGAUGUGACAUUUGGUGUGAAGGAAUUGAAGGCAUUCCUUGCUUUUUGCGAGGGCUGUGAAGUGGACAUUCAUUUGUAUUUUGACAAGACUGGAGAGCCGAUAUUAAUGGCACCAAAAUUUGGUUUAGAUGAUGGAUCCAGUUCAAAUUUUGAUGCUACACUUGUCCUUGCGACCAUGCUGAUAUCACAGCUUCACGAAGGCAAUCCCACAGAACCUCCACAAGUGGCUACCGCAAUACAUGGUCAGCCUGUUCCAGUGACUGGAUCGCAACCACAAUGCAGGUCUAGAGCAAAUGUUUCUGAGCAUCCUUCUGAUCACACCAGAAUCUGGUCUGAACUUUCAGGAAGUGCAGCAAGAAGUGGUACCGAAGAAAGACAGGCUCAAGGGGAAAGAAACUUGAAUGCUACUGAACAAAGGGAAAUACAAAGAAUUAGCACAAUACAAAUAUCAAAGGACACAUCUGCUGUAGAAAAUGUUCCUGGAGGUCCAAGCCCCAUUUUCUUGGCUGUUUAUAUCAGGUGCAAUUUUACAGAAAAGCAUCCUGAGGAGGAAACCCGAGAGAGGCCAGAAACUAAUGGUCAUGGUUUUUCACAACGACAUCCUAGCAACUGGGUAGAUGCAAAUGAGGAUGACGAUGAUGAUGCUGAUGAAAGUGAAAUGUGUAUUCAGUCAACACCGCCAUACUAUGAAGAACAGUAGCAAUGGGUGAUCUCUUAUUCUCAGUGGUUGGCGGAGGCUGCUUCCUGCAUGUCUUCUGUAGAGAGAUAGAGAGAGGGGAAAAAGACAAGCGGUCAACCAACGCAUCUGUGAUCUUAGGUGUGGACUUUCUUGAUGAUGAACGAAUGUAUGCAUCCAUCUCCUUCCUUUGAGGUAAAAUUUAUUAUUAAUUUUAUAAAUUCUUUAAUUUUAUCUUGUUAUUUUUUGAAUUUUUAUUAUAAAUUUUUUAUAAUAUUUUUACUUCUCUUAUUUAGUCAUUAUAUUUUUAUUUUCACUUUAGAGUUUUUCAUAAAAAUUAAAAAUUCAAAAACUCAAAUAUACGUUUUGCCUUCAUUUUAUUCACAAAGUUGACAUCUUAUUAUUAGAGUUUGGCAUUUGUCUGAAUUCUUUCGGCUUAUUUCUUUUUAAAAGUAGUCAUUAUU